GAUCCUGGCUCAGGACGAACGCUGGCGGCGUGCCUAAUACAUGCAAGUAGAACGCUGAAGGAGGAGCUUGCUCUUCUGGAUGAGUUGCGAACGGGUGAGUAACGCGUAGGUAACCUGCCUGGUAGUGGGGGAUAACUAUUGGAAACGAUAGCUAAUACCGCAUAAUAACAGUUGUUGCAUGACAACUGUUUGAAAGGUGCAAUUGCAUCACUACCAGAUGGACCUGCGUUG
rnacentral:rRNA from 1 species